AUCGAACGCUGGCGGCAGGCUUAACACAUGCAAGUCGAGCGGGGGAGGUUGCUUCGGUAACUGACCUAGCGGCGGACGGGUGAGUAAUACUUAGGAAUCUGCCUAUUAAUGGGGGACAACAUCUCGAAAGGGAUGCUAAUACCGCAUACGCCCUACGGGGGAAAGCAGGGGAUCACUUGUGACCUUGCGUUAAUAGAUGAGCCUAAGUCGGAUUAGCUAGUUGGUGGGGUAAAGGCCUACCAAGGCGACGAUCUGUAGCGGGUCUGAGAGGAUGAUCCGCCACACUGGGACUGGGACACGGCCCAGACUCCUACAGGAGGCAGCAGUGGGGAAUAUUGGACAAUGGGCGGAAGCCUGAUCCAGCCAUGCCGCGUGUGUGAAGAAGGCCUUUUGGUUGUAAAGCACUUUAAGCGAGGAGGAGGCUACUUAGAUUAAUACUCUGGGAUAGUGGACGUUACUCGCAGAAUAAGCACCGGCUAACUCUGUGCCAGCCGCCGCGGUAAUAC
rnacentral:rRNA from 1 species